CACGCCUGCGUGCUUACAUCACGCUGAGCGCUUUGACCGCGAAGCAGACAGACAAACAAACAAAAUGGCAGAGGAGAGGAAUUCAUUUAUCCGGUGGAGAUACGCACACUAUUUUAACUAUGUCACCCAAAAAGACAAAAACGUGGUCGUGGAGUGUAAGCUUUGCGUGGGCAGCAAACGUUUGUCAACGGCAGCCAGCUCAUCCUCCAACCUUUUGAAACAUUUGCAGCGUCAACACUCAACUGUUAAGCUUGUCGCUGAAGAGCAACACAGCGAGGCUGCCGCCUCCGACACACCGACACGAUACAAGCAACCUCGUCUUGAAUUACGCUGUCAGGUUUCCCAGAGACUAUGGGUUGAGGAGGAAGUAGAAGUUUGUCAGCUUAGACCUAGUGUCAUUCCAUCAGUGUUAAACUUCCCGGCUAAUCUUGGAAGAGUACGUGCCAGAAAGACCACGACCAAGCAGCCUUGAGAUCUUAGGCAGCGUCUCCCUGAGGUCCCUCUCUAUCUCCCCACACAUCCACCAACCACUGGAACACAUCUCCAAAGUUCUGCCGGGCCAGCUCAGCUUCCCCUCAAAGAAGUGCCGCCACCUGCCAGAUGAAGGAGCCUUUUGAGAGGCAGCUGGCAUCGUGAUUGGACUGUACUUUGGUCUGUUCCAAUCCAGCUUCAGCUCCAGAGACGGCAGGCGGGACGAGUCAACGGAGGCCGGGUGGACGAAGGCAUGCAGCUGAGUACAAUCCAGAAAACAACAGAGGAGGAGUGCAGCGGCCCAGGACCAGAACAAACAGAGUAGCAUCAUAUGUCUCUUAGAAAACAUCAUAGUAUAGAAAAAACGCCAUCAUAUACAUCGUAUAUUGUACAAAUAACAAGUCAAAGGAAAGAGACAUACAUUGUAGAAUUGUAGUAAUUGUGGGCUGACUGAUUUACUGAUUAUCAGUAUUUUAUUUUUUAUUGAUUUACGGUAAUAAAUACAUUUAAAAAUGGC